GAUGAACGCUGGCGGCGUGCCUAAUACAUGCAAGUCGAGCGAACAGAUGAGGAGCUUGCUCCUCUGACGUUAGCGGCGGACGGGUGAGUAACACGUGGAUAACCUACCUAUAAGACUGGGAUAACUUCGGGAAACCGGAGCUAAUACCGGAUAAUAUAUUGAACCGCAUGGUUCAAUAGUGAAAGACGGUUUUGCUGUCACUUAUAGAUGGAUCCGCGCCGCAUUAGCUAGUUGGUAAGGUAACGGCUUACCAAGGCAACGAUGCGUAGCCGACCUGAGAGGGUGAUCGGCCACACUGGAACUGAGACACGGUCCAGACUCCUACGGGAGGCAGCAGUAGGGAAUCUUCCGCAAUGGGCGAAAGCUUGACGGAGCAACGCCGCGUGAGUGAUGAAGGUCUUCGGAUCGUAAAACUCUGUUAUUAGGGAAGAACAAAUGUGUAAGUAACUAUGCACGUCUUGACGGUACCUAAUCAAAAAGCCACGGCUAACUACGUG
rnacentral:rRNA from 1 species